AUGAACGCCAACAUAGAUUUCCAGAUGAUGAAAAAACAUGAGAGGGCACAUUUUUUCAGCUCUAGAGAGCAGGAGCUCAUUUUAAAGUGGUAUGAAGAGGAAAGAGAAAUAUUAACAGCCAAAUCCAACACUACCAGCGCCUCUAAACUGAGGGAGGAAGCCUGGCAGAGGAUUGCUGAUAAAAUAAAUGCAGUCUCAGACAGUGGCUACAAAAGGACAUGGCAGCAAGUGAAAGUCAAGCAUAAAAAUAUUGUGCAAACAGCAAAGAGAAGAAGAGCUGAAGUGAUCAGAAAUGAGGGUGGCUCCACCACCCCAUCGCUCAACUCUGCUGAAGAGGACGUGCUGCUGCACAGAGACAGCAGACUGAGGGUGGAUUUCCUGCCUGGAGGUGCUUGUAGUCCGCCACUGACAGGAUCUGACAACUCUUUUAUUAGUGUGUCGGGACAUCCGGUCCUCCUCCUGCCUGUCCCAAAGACUGAACCGGAGAGUCUGAGCAGUGACGAGACAGAUGUCAGCGAUGCACAUAUUGACACAGAUGUGCACAUUAGCACGUUCCAGGAGAGUCCUAACUCCACAUGUGCCGCAACCAGUAGCAGAACUGCAGAGGUGAGGUCCACACCUCAGUGGUCAGAUCUGAUAGUGACAGAGAAUAGGAACCUUGUUUGGUAUUGCCAAGUAAAAAAACAUUAUCAUUCACUUUUUUUGCAGAGGCAGACAGAAGACCUAAAAGCUAUUUACUGCUGUUAUCUCAAAAAGGAGAUAGAGAACCGCGACCAACAGAUGGCAUACAGAGCUCUGAAAAUGAAGAAGCUGGAAAAAGAAAUCCUGUUGCUUGAUAAACAGCUGAUGUGACUGUGUAGAGCUGUGCUACAGUUUUUUUCUCUAUGUCAAAGCAGUAGGUGGUAUAAAAUACACCCCCUGUGCACCAUCACUAACAUGUUGGUGCUUCUGUUACCCUGACCACAUCUGGAGAUGUGUAUGUGGGUCACAGCAGUGGUGGACACCCCUGCAUUUAUUACUGUGGCUCUGCCAUUAGUUUGAUCAAAUAUUUUAGUUUCAUUGUUACAGUAUUGCACUUUACGACUGUACAGAGUAGUCCUCAGAUCGGAAUAGUAAUCUUGAAAAUCGAAGUCUUUUUUUCAUUUUGGCAAAAGCAGGUUUUUACUUUUACGUUAAGCGAAUUGGUUGUAACUCACACACAAACGUAAGGUGUUUAAAUCAAUGUUUUUUUUUAUUUCAGGAUUUUUUUCUAGAGGCAAUAAUUUAAAAAUUAACUAAACAAAAUUAUUUUCUACAGACACCUUCAUCAGCUUUGUGUUUCUCUCCCAUUUGUCUUAAAAAAACAUUAAAACAUUAAAGAAAACUUAAUUUUAUUUUCAACAACGUAUCUAAAUCUAUAUUUUUUCAUAAACCAUUCAUAACAUCUUUCUUAAUAUAUUCCUUAUAUAUUUGCAUAUAUUUAUAAAGUUGCGCAAUUGCUCUUAUUAUUGGUGUGUUUUAGUUUUAAAUUGUUAGUACAUACAUGAGCUAACUACAUACUUUGUAAAACAAUGACAUGUAUGUUAUGUGUUGUCUGGAAACAAUAAAAAUAUUUCCUAAUAUAAAUCCA
ensembl:lncRNA uncharacterized LOC114862937